GGGCCCGUAGCUUAGCUGGUUAUAGCGCCACUUUUGCAUAGUGGAGAUCACCGGUUCGAAUCCGGUCGGGUCCACCA
rnacentral:tRNA from 1 species